rnacentral:lncRNA from 1 species
ACGGAGUUCAGGUUUAUACCACCAAGGAAGUGGCUCUGGAAUCUGUGGCGGGUUUCUUGGUUGAAUCAGGACCUUGGGAACCAAGGAUGGAUAUAAUUCUGCAUAAGACAUAGGAGUCGGGUCAAAAGAGACCUUCUUCCUCUCAAAGUUUUGUUGAUGAUGAUUGUUGUUGGUAUUGUUGUUGUAGGUGUUUGCUCGUUGUUGCGGUUGUUGUUG